rnacentral:tRNA from 81 species
GGCGGAUGUAGCCAAGUGGAUCAAGGCAGUGGAUUGUGAAU